AUGUCCACCUGCGUUGUGGUUUCCCUACAACAAUAACAUAUUUAGCAGCCGGGAAUGUACAAAAACACCGUUUCCAUGUCGCUAACCUAUUUGGCGAGCCCUGUCGCGUAGUUAGCUCCAUUACGUUACCUGCACAGAGGGUGUUUCCAAAGACAGCAUAGAGAUACACUUUAUCAACUGUUUUUUUUUUUCACCGUGAGCUGAGUAAUGAUUCACAAGUUAGCUGCUACUAGAAUCUAAGCCUUUCUCACUGAGAAUGUUUGCGAUCGUCAGUUAUGGCUGUUUGGCUAACAGGAGAACCUCUCGCAAGUAACGUUAAACCACAGGAGGCUAAAGCGAGCUAAAUAACAACAGUAUAACAAAAGAAGGCUGUGCUGCUCUGAUGGCAGUUCUCUUAUCAAACCCAUCACACCUGACAGAGAUGAGUCUGAGUGGGAAUAAACUAGGAAACACAUCAGCAAAGCACAUCUCUGAUCUACUGAAGGACUCACGCUGUAAACUGGAGAAACUGAUGCUUAAUGACAACAGGAUAAAAGAAGAAGGCUGCACUGAAAGGGAAUAAACUAGGAGACUCGGUUAGGGAGAUUUCUGCUCUAAAUGACAAUCAUAAUUCUAAACUACAGACAUUGGAGUGAGUAAAAUAUUUGACAUAAUGUAAAGUGGAAUACUGUACAGAAAUACUGAUGGCAUUCAAGUGAUAUAAUGGAGUAUGAAAUAGUGAGUAAUGAAACAUAAAUAUUGAUGAUAGACUUAGAGUGCCCUCCAUGGCUUGAUUUUUCCUCAUUGUUUUUAUUGUGAGAUUACGAUAAAUCACCAAAAGAUGAUUUUUUAUACCUGUUUUUGGUCAACUUUACCAGGGGUGCCAAUAAUUCUAAAGGGCAUUGUAUGUAGUAAAUAUACAUAAUUAUACAACAGUUAGGUCCGGUCCAGUCCAAUCCAACGAUCUAUUACAUAUUUCUGAUUGGACGAGAGCCGUUGCAGAGUUGGGAGAUCCCAGGACAUCCCCAUUCAGACUCACCACUAGUACUCACUCCAACAUGAACAUUCCAUUAAUUCAAAAUUAGAAAGCAGUGAUUUUGUAGCAUCAUAUGUGACAGUAAUUGAGUAAGAAAACUGAGCAAAUGCAGUACUUUGAAUGUUCAGUUUAGCAUGUGACAAGUAAGUACCGGUAGGCUAUACAAAUUAUUGUGUGCAUCA